rnacentral:misc_RNA from 1 species
GAUGAAGAACGCAGCGAAAUGCGAUAAGUAAUGUGAAUUGCAGAUUUCAGUGAAUCAUCGAAUCUUUGAACGCACAUUGCGCCCGCCAGUAUUCUGGCGGGCAUGCCUGUUCGAGCGUCAUUACAACCCUCAGGCCCCCGGGCCUGGCGUUGGGGAUCGGCAGAAGCCCCCUGUGGGCACACGCCGUCCCUCAAAUACAGUGGCGGUCCCGCCGCAGCUUCCAUUGCGUAGUAGCUAACACCUCGCAACUGGAGAGCGGCGCGGCCAUGCCGUAAAACACCCAACUUCUGAAUGUUGACCUCGAAUCAGGUAGGAAUACCCGCUGAACUUAAGCAUAUCAAUAAGCGGAGGA